GACGAACGCUGGCGGCGUGCUUAACACAUGCAAGUCGAACGGAAAGGCCCUGCUUUUGUGGGGUGCUCGAGUGGCGAACGGGUGAGUAACACGUGAGUAACCUGCCCUUGACUUUGGGAUAACUUCAGGAAACUGGGGCUAAUACCGUAUAGGAGCUCCUGCUGCAUGGUGGGCGUUGGAACGUUUCGGCGGUUGGGGAUGGACGCGCGGCUUAUCAGCUUGUUGGUGGGGUAGUGGCUUACCAAGGCUUUGGCGGGUAGCCGGCCUGGGAGGGUGACCGGCGACAAUGGGACUGAGAGACGGACCAGAGUCGUACGGGGGGCAGCGGUGGGGAGUAUGGCACAAUGAGCGGAAGCCUGAUGCAACAGCGCCGCGUGCGGAAUGACGGCUUUCGGGUUGUAAACCGCUGUAGCUUGUGACGAAGCGGGAGUGACGGUAAUGGAUAAAGAAGCACCGGCUAACUACGUG
rnacentral:rRNA from 1 species